GUCCUCUUAGCGCAGUGGAUAGCGCGUUGGACUUCUAUUUCUUAGAAGCAAUCCAAAGGUCGCGGGUUCGAUCCCCGCAGAGGAUG
rnacentral:tRNA from 1 species